UUUUCUUGGUAGUUUUUGAAGUAUGGUCUGCCCGCUGAUUGAAGGGCCGCGGUAUUUUGACCGUGCAAAGGUAGCAUAGUCAUUAGUUCUUUAAUUGUGAUCUGGCAUGAAUGGCUUGACGAGACAUGAGCUGUCUUUUUGAAUUUGUAUUUUGAGUUAAAAUUCUUAGAUGUUUUUAUGGGACGAGAAGACCCUAUAGAGUUUUACAUUGGUUCUUUUGUUUGUUUUCCAUUUUUAUAUUUGUUUUGUUGGGGUGAUGGGAGGAAUAUUCUUUAACUCCUCUUUUUGUUAUAUGAUUUGUAUUUGUUUUGAUCCAUUUAUUUUGAUUAUAAGAUUAAAUUACCUUAGGGAUAACAGCGUUAUCUUCCCUGAGAGUUCUUAUUGGCGGGAGGGGUUGCGACCUCGAUGUUGGAUUAAGGUUUAUUUUUGGUGUAGGAGCUGAAUAGAUUAGGUCUGUUCGACCUUUAAAAUCUU
rnacentral:rRNA from 1 species